rnacentral:rRNA from 1 species
GAUGAACGCUGGCGGCGUGCCUAAUACAUGCAAGUCGAGCGAACAGACGAGGAGCUUGCUCCUCUGACGUUAGCGGCGGACGGGUGAGUAACACGUGGAUAACCUACCUAUAAGACUGGGAUAACUUCGGGAAACCGGAGCUAAUACCGGAUAAUAUAUUGAAUCGCAUGGUUCAAUAGUGAAAGACGGUUUUGCUGUCACUUAUAGAUGGAUCCGCGCCGCAUUAGCUAGUUGGUAAGGUAACGGCUUACCAAGGCAACGAUGCGUAGCCGACCUGAGAGGGUGAUCGGCCACACUGGAACUGAGACACGGUCCAGACUCCUACGGGAGGCAGCAGUAGGGAAUCUUCCGCAAUGGGCGAAAGCUUGGCGGAGCAACGCCGCGUGAGUGAUGAAGGUCUUCGGAUCGUAAAACUCUGUUAUUAGGGAAGAACAAAUGUGUAAGUAACUAUGCACGUCUUGACGGUACCUAAUCAGAAAGCCACGGCUAACUACGUG